UGAGUCCCUUCCUUCUGAUACAUCCAUUUGAACAGAACUAUGCGCACCUUUAUCACCUUGUGGGAGCAGAACUGAAUGCGAUUAAUCUUCAUGUUCCAAGAUUACGUUGUCAGAGGAAGCAUCACCGUCAAUACUACUCUUGUAUUCUAUUCCUCAAUACUUGGUGAUUACAAAGACUUUUGAAGGAUGUUGUGAUGUUUUCCACGUAUCAAGACUAUGGUUGCAGAAUAAUCGGAUGGUUUAUGAUAAUAGUCUGAAGUGGCAUAUAUGUAUAUAUCUUGUUCAGUGCGUGAAUGUGUUCUGGUGAAAAGUAUGGUUUUCGGCAACAUAUUCAGAAGAUUAAUGUGCCUGUAGAUGACCCAAACAGUCUACGGCUGUCAAAAGGUUUCCAGAUUCAUGUUUC
rnacentral:lncRNA from 1 species